rnacentral:misc_RNA from 1 species
ACAGAGACCUACUGUAUGAUCCAGGAGGCGGCCCAACAUGGUGACGGGUACGGGAUCGACGAAUUCGACUCCGAGAAAGACUUCCGUCAUGAAAUCGAGGGCAGCGAUUGUUUUGCUAUCGUUAGUAAAGACAGUGGCGAACUCCUCGCCGGUUUGAUUCUGGCUGUGAGCAAGUUCUACCGAGGAAUGAGCGGAGUAUGUGACCCGUUCAUCAUCGUAAAACGCACAGAGCGAAAACAAAAACUCGGCGAGUUCUGCAUGAGGAAAGCCAUCGAGUUCUCCAAGAAGCUCGGAUACAUGGGGAUGUACGUGGAUACCUUCUCCAAUAACGUAGCCGUGCAGAGAAUCAUCGAGAAGAUAGGCGGUUUCCAACGGGUGGGUUUCCUUCCAUUGGGAGGUCGCCUGCAGACCGGACAGUUGGUGGGCUCUGUUAUUUACUACCGGGACCUGUCUCCGGAAAAACCGAAAAAACCGGAAGAUACCUGAACUUUGACCUGUGUAUAGAAACAUUCAUCUGAUGCCCCAAUAUCAGAUAACUUUACUAUCAUGCCAAACUGAGCUUACCGUUGUCACCAUCAAGUGUUUAAGCUUACAAAAUGACAAUGCGCGACAGUAGUGCUCCACAAAUUGAGAUGUAUUUUGAAGAACUAUAUUAAUGUACAUACGCAUGUAGAUCUCCGCGAUAUUGUCUCGUGUACAUAGUAUGCACAGUGACUUCAUUGUCCUAUAAACAUUUUGCGAUAAAGACGAGACUUUUACACUCAUUCUAUUGCAACACUUGGUUGUGACUGUUGUUGAAAUUUAUACAAUUGUUAUAAGUUUUGUACAUAUUAAAAGCAGCACAUC